rnacentral:misc_RNA from 1 species
GCUUUUCUUCUUCCUUUUUUUGGUAAAUCCCAAAAAUUUGCUUCAGUGAAAUGUCUACUUUCUGCUGUGACAAUUCCAUAAACACACUAAUAAUUCAGGAAUGCCAGCCUUUUCCUAAGAAAACAGUUUUAGAUCUAUAUAAUUAGAAAAGGGAGUUUGGGUUUGGGAAGAAGUUGAAACACAGGUCCAUGAGGGAUUGUGUAAGGUUAACUCUAGUUGACUCGACUAUGGAGUAUGGAGUACUACUACAUCUUUGUGGCCUUCUCUAUUUUAAAUUAUCUACUGUGAUUGGCUCACUGCAUUAAUCUACAUUCUUUAGCUUCUAAACAUAUGCAUAUGCAUUUUGUUUCCUCAGCUUGUAGAACAUAUUAUGGGUUUUAAGGAGGUUGUGCAGUUGUAACUAUGUGCAAUUAUAACUAUAAAUUUAUCUGUUGUUGAGCAUCUUCUUCACUAACUUCUCAUGCUGUUGAAAAUGUACUGAACUAUGAUGAAAUCAUGUUUUUGAUUGCAGGUCUCGUGAUGGCUUUAAUUGGU